CCCUCCCGGAUCCGCCGCCGCCCCCUCCCACCGCCUCCGUACGCACGCCCCCGCCAGGGCCCGCGCCGCUUCCCCGAAGGCUCCCAGAACACGGCCAAUGGGGAGAUCAACCGUGGACUUGGAUUAGAUGCUGAGGCACCUACUCGGUGCCACUGAUCUCCGACAGGGCUCGGAAGAAAAGAAGGGCUACAAGACAAGCUCAAAUCGCUGGGUCGCCCUGAAUGCUCGCCAGGUUCAGGUUCUGCGCGCUUGCAGCCCUUUUCUCCCCAAGUCGUCAACGUCGGUGUGCCCAACGUGCAGCUCGCCGAGGUUCAAGAAAAGGGGUAGCGAGGCCGCUCCACGGCUCAUAGAUGUCCGUUUGGAGCUGAAAGCCACGGAACACCCUGGGUCUGGGAACUCCCACGCCCUGGAUCCCCGCCCUCCUGCAUUCCCCUUUUCCCAAUUCCUGGGGUUCGUGGACCUAGCAAUGCCACCUCCCGCCCCAGAAGAAGAGCCCCCCCCCGCCCCCAUGCACUCGUCAGGAGGACUAGUACCUUCUCGCAUCUGCGGAUCGAACCCUUCCUGCCAUCAAAGCAAGCCUAGUUCCGGGCAGGUGGUGCCCCAGAAGCUGGCUCGAAAGGGGCCCCGGCGGGAGCUCCUUCCCUUAGAGUGAGGGCACGCUCUGGGCGUGUCCGUGUGUCCCUUUGUAUGUCUAUGUGUGUUGGGCUUCGUUCCACAUGAACUCUGCCUAGCCUAUUCCUCGCGCUGCGGGACUUCGGGGGAGGGGCCCCAGAGCUGGGCAGCGACUUCUUCGCAUCUCUGAUCGUUUUCUUAUAGACACUAGACACCCCGAUCAAGCCACCCCCAUACCCACGCCUCUUUUUUUUUUUUUCUUCUGGAUAGCGGCACCGCCUGGCUGGGAUUCCAGUCCAGGUUCCAGUACCCCUGGGGACUAUGGACAAGGGUCUGGGCUGCAUCGUGGCCCCAAGUCAGAACCAGAAUUGGGCCUGGGAACUCAUUCCAAGCUCCAAUUAUGUAGAAAGGGUAACUAAGGCAGGGAGAACCCAAAUCGGGUUUUAAAAGACUGAAAGAGCUUCAGCUACCAGCUGGCCUGGUUGGCCCCGCAAACCGCCCCCCAUCUUUUCCAAUAAGCCGUCGAUUGGUUGCCCCACAGUCUUUUACAGGGCGCUGGGCCAGACAAGGUCCCGACCGUCAGUCCGGGAUCCACAGGCAGCCCUCGGACAGUAGAUCCCAGAAGUGGGCAGUGGGCAUCGCCGGCGGUGAAAGUAGAAGCCAGAUUGACAGAGAAGCCAUUAUCCAGGUCUUCUCUGACGCCUCCUCCAAGCCCCAAGCCCCAGGGGCGCCCCACUGCCUACGUUCCACAUCUUCGCAUUUAACCAUCCGGAGUCCGGACUGCGAGUCUCCGUGGCCCCUGCAUGCCCGAUGCAUCAUCGCUAGACCGCCGCUUCCGGGCGCCAGAGGGACCCCUCGGCCCGCACGCGGCCGUCCUGGGCUCGGUGCAGGGAGAGAGUGCGGGGCUCCCGCUCCAGCGUGUCUUCUGCCCUGAACCGAGCACAGGAAUCCGCAGCGCCUCACGCCCGGGCGCCCCCUAAGUCCCCCCCCCCUUGGGACCCAGGAUUAGCCUCGUGCCUCUCUGGGCGGGACGUGCAACGGAGCCACACUAGCUGAGAAGCAACUCCGGAGGAAUAACCAGGGGCGCUGCGCUGCUUGGAGAUUAGCCCCCUACUCCCAGCCUAGUGCGGAGGGACGCGGGGACCCCGCGCAGGCUUAGCGCUUCGGCCCCAGCGGCGCCUCCCCCACGCGUCUGACACGAAGCAGUUCCCGGCCCGGCCCUGCGGCGAGGCUAUCCCCGCUCUGAGUGCGUGGGCGCGGGAGACUAGCCUGGCCCUUCCUCUGCAGGUGUGUAGAGGGAGCUGGAGUGCUUAGCUCGAUUUUGUGUCUUGAGGCCCAGGAGCGGACCGGGACUCCGAUUUUUACCAUCCUGGAGACCUCAGCGGCUUGGUACUUUUACACUUAGGUACUGAGGAUGCGUAACCUUUUGACAGAGGAUGAUGGGAGCAGGUGGAUCAGAGGGUAGAAAGAGUCCCGGGCCUGUGACCAGGGGCGACAAUACCUUUGGGAUCUACGGAGCCUAGGCUAGGGAAGACAGCCAAGGGCACAGUCCACUGGGCCACCUUUGCGAAGUGUUCUGUCCACUUGGAGGCGCUAUGCGAACCCCUACUGGAACCACCCAGCGCAGGUGGGCAACCACACUAGAAGAAGCCUCUUUAAAUCCUUUCCAGCCAUUCUCAGGAUCCUGGGUUGGGAGAAUCCACCCUGGUCGUUACAAAGUUGGCUCUGCUUCCCAUUGUUCUGACUGUCUAGAAGCCCAGGGGGCCUGGGGAAAGGAAAGGAAGUGUAUCUUACCCAAAAACCAUCCGAGGGGAACCCAAGGAGCCGAUGAGGGCUACACUGACUCCUUACACAAAGACAGUUAUUUCUCUCUGCCUGGCCCGGAUACCACAUCCCAGAGCUUGGAAUUGAGAGAACUUGAGUUUGGUUCCAAGCACAGAAGGCAAGUGGCUCACAACCGCAUGGAACUCCAGUCCCAGAAGAUCCGUGACCUCUGACCCCCAUGGGCACCUUUAGCCAUGUGUGUACAGGAACACACACACACACACUGAAAUCUAGUGGUGAGCAUUCCUCCCUGCUGAGCCCCUUACCAGACCCUGGUUGUCCUUUUUCAAGACCUCCUUCUGUAUUUGCUCACGUGUCUGGUUAAGGCAUGCUUUGGCUAUUGUUCUCGCCGAUGAGGAAAAGCACAGAGGCCCACCAUAGGAGGUCUGGUGGAAAUGUGAUGGCCAUCAAGCCCUACCUCCAUUCCAGUUAGGAGUCCUUGUCAGGAAAAUGAAAGAGCUUGGUAGGAAUCGGGGCCCAGCACAUCCCUAGCCACUGUGCAGGUGGGCGAGGCUGUAGGGGACUCUGGGCUCCAGAGCAUCUCGCGUGGCUUCUCCAUCUGAAGCUGGCCUUGCUCACUGCACCCACUGCCAAAAUACAAGGGAGCGGGCCCUGCUGCUCUGGGGACCUAGUCGUCACAGGCAACUCACUCCCCUCCACCUUCUGAGGCCUCCUUCCUUUUGAGCCAGCCAGGAAGCUACUGGCCCAAUCCUGCUGGGGACAGGGACCUGCAUGGUCUCUCAGCCAGCCCUCCCCUCCCCGUCCUGCUCUGGGGCUGAACCCAGCUUAGGAGAGCUUGCUCUGGCGACUUGUUUGUUGUCCUAGUAAGCAUUCAUUUGCAGGUGGGAAUGAAGCGGCCCAGCUCUUCUAAGCAGGGCUUUCAGAUGCCAGCGAGAUCUUGGGCACUUAGCACAGUGUAAACAUUCCUAGUGUUUGCUCUCAGUUUGGCAGACAUUUUCCAGAGCGUCUGCCGAGGGCAGGCAAGGUGCCAGGGCCAGUGAUGAACAGAAUACCGACCCCCAUCUCUGAGAGCUCUCCGUCCAGUACAGUAGGCAGAUAAAGUACACUUUCCUCCCCGAGCCCCCGGGCACAGGUCAGGGCUACCACAGAGAAGUAGUGUCUGCUGACCAGGUGACAUUGGAGCAAGGUCUGGAAGAGUGAGGGAGGCACAGAAGUAGUUUGCAUGAUCAACACAGGAACUGCACGUGUAGGUCAAUGGCAGAACGCUCACCUGGCAUGCACAAGGCCUUGGGUUCAAUCCCCAAUAUCACACGCUCACAGACAACAUUCAGCAUCAUGAACAGUGUAAGCAAGUGUGGCAGGGUGUUUACCUUGUCAGUCAUGAAAUGCUAAACGGGUGUCAUACGGGAUGUGAUAGAAACAGACAGACAGACUUUAGGUAGAUAGGGAGCCUGGCUGAGUGUCCAUCCACCUCUGAGCAAAGGCAGUGGUGUGCUCUGUGUCUGACAUGCUCUGAGGUCCCAGACGAAAGGACUGGAGGGGCAACAGAGACCAUGAGAUUCCACUUCAUGAAGGCUGUAGCAGAGGCCAGAGAAGAUUGGAACUUGAGGACGUCUUAGGGAAUUAAUGAUAGCCCAAGACAUUUGGCAUUGGCUUGGAUUUUGAACAAGAAGGAUGGUAGAGGGAAGUUUCUGUCCCACCUGAUCUGGCAGCCAUUCAGUCCCAAAUAAACACACAGAGGCUUAUAUUGAUUGUAAA